CUUCGAAGGAAAUGGAUGGUUUCUGGAAAAAGUUGUAAUCAAGGAUCCUGUAACAGAUUUGGAUUAUACUUUUCUUUGUCACAGGUGGCUGGACCAGGGACAGGAUGAUGGCAGUAUUGCUAGAGAACUGCCUGUGACAGAUGCCAGCACAUUUCCAGGAAGACAAGAGCUGGAACUCAAGAGAGUAAAAACUGUAAGAGUAUAUAUUUUUAUUUUAACCAUU